UACGUAGGGGGCAAGCGUUGUCCGGAAUCAUUGGGCGUAAAGCGCGCGUAGGCGGCCCGGUAAGUCCGCUGUGAAAGUCAAAGGCUCAACCUUUGAAUGUCAGCGGAUACUGCCGGGCUAGAGUCCGGAAGAGGCGAGUGGAACUCCUGGUGUAGCGGUGGAAUGCGUAGAUAUCGAGAGGAACACCUGCGGCGAAGGCGGGUUGCUGGGCUGACACUGACGCUGAACUGCGAAAGCUAGGGGAGCGAACGGG
rnacentral:rRNA from 1 species